UGGCUUCCUCCUCUCAGCAUGCUGGUCCUGGCAAGUCCCAUCACCAGCCAGCCUUCCCAAAGAGGAACGCCUUAGGGUUGGCUCCAGCCCCUCAGCUUCCUCUUUCUUCCCUAGUUCCCUUGCAAGGAUGACCCCAGGGCCCCUGGUUCCCAGCAGCUCCAAGAUGGUGGGAAUCUGAAGGAUGGCAGAACAGAACUGGUACCAAUGGUCUGAAGCCAGCAAGAGGCUGAUUUCAGCUCAAAAAAAGUGUCCAGAUCCAACUGAAGCUCUAUUUCGUCAUCCUUUCCCUCCUUCUCCAAAGUGUGUCGUCUAUCUCUGGUGGUUCCCUGGCUGAUACAAUGUACGUAAACCAGGUUAAUGAUGCUGAAGAUCCCGACUAGAGCACCACAUUCUCAAGUGCACCGUGGGAACUGAUGCUGGCAAGGAUGCAUCCGUUUCCUCCAGGGACAUGGUGACCUGAUCUGCCUUCAGCAGACACAGCGUACUUCGUCUUGCAUUCUUUUUUCACAAAAGGAGUAGUGAGCCCAGAAAUAGGUUGAGUAAUCACUAUCUUGAGAGAGUAUUUGGCAUUUAGAGAAAAACACCAGCUUUGGGAUCAGCCUUCCCCAGCUCUCCUACCUCCCUCUGGCUGAUAUCAGACAAGUUACCAUUCUUUGCCUCAAUAUCUUAGUCUGUCAAAUGGGACAAAACAUAUUUAGUCUACAGGGUUAUUAAAAAGUAACAAAUUUUAAAUGCCUGGUCCAGAGUAUGUCUUUAAUAAAUCUAAAUUCUCU